AACGAACGCUGCGGUGCGUUUUAAGCAUGCAAGUUGACGGUAAGGGAGAGCUUGCUCUCCUCCUAGAGUGCGGACUGGUGAGUCACGCGUGAAUGAUCUACCUUGAGAUGGGGAUAGCUCUUAGAAUAGGAGGUAAACCGAUAUAACCUUAAUAUGUUAUGACAUAUAAGAAAAGGAGCGUCAGCUCCGCUUAAAGAUGAGUCUGCGUCCCAUUAGCUAGUUGGUAAGGUAAGGCUUACCAAGGCGACGAUGGGUACCCGGCCUGAGAGGGUGAACGGGCACAUUGGGACUGAGAUACGGCCCAAACUCCUACGGGAGGCAGCAGUCUGAGAAUCUUCCGCAAUGGACGAAAGUCUGACGGAGCGACACCGCGUGAACGAUGAAGGCCGGAAGGUUGUAAAGUUCUUUUGCAGACAAAGAAUAAGGAUAGAAGGAAAUGACUAUCUGAUGACGGUAGUUAGCGAAUAGCC
rnacentral:rRNA from 1 species